UCAAAAAUGUGUACAACCGAUUUCUGGUGGAUUUCUGAUGUGCAAUCACGUGCAAUGCAGUAUAGUACACUUUCUUUGAAAAUAAUAUUGUAAAUCUACUGCUUAUGGCUAUCACAAUGGUUAAAGUGUGUUAUACGUCGUACGUCUUCUUCUUUUUCUUUAAAAUGUACGUCUUCUUCUUUAAAAUGCAUUGAAUCUUUUUUCAGUUUUCCAGUGAAAAAGGAUUUAUUUAAAGAAUGGAAAAAAGUAGUACCGACGAAAAGGUACAUUACGAAGCAUUCUCGUAUUUGUAGUAAACAUUUUAAGGACUCUUGUUAUAAACACAUUGGAAAAAGACGAAUCUUAAAACAAAAUGCAAUACCUACAAUAUUUGAUUUAGAAAAUAUUUCAUCAUUUAUGGAUCAGUAUAAAAAUUUAAAAACUCUUCAACCUUCAGUUAUUCCAAAUAUGUCUCAAUCUUCGUUAAAAAUGGUUGAUAGAGUUUUAACAUCAAAAUAUUACAGGUAAAAUAUGUUGCAAUGUCACCUCAGACUUCGAAGAUGGAGAAAACUAUGAUUGAAAAAAAAAAUGCAGCAGUUGAAACAUCUCCACAGCGAGUAGGACCAACUGAAAAGGAAAAUACAUUAAGGGGAUGCUGAAUACCGACAUUAUCUAUUUUUCACUAUUCUUCCAGACGGCUGCAUAGAAUUGAAAAUGCUUUUACAGAGUAAAUAUAGAUAUGCUAAUGUAUGCAAAACAGCCCAGUAUAGCAUAAAAAACAAACAAAAAUUUUAUAUUUAUUUUUUAUACG